CUCAUGUUAAAAACUUAAAAGUAGCUUAGGACAUAAAUUAAGAUUAACAGCUAACAACAGCAACGCAUGAAGUUAACAACUCUACUUGGUAUAUACUUCAACCUGAACCUUCUCUUACACAUGACUGAUCUCUCCCUCACUACUCCCUACCUGGUGCUUAUAUGCAAGGAGUUCCAGGGGUAUUUAUGUGAAUUAUCAUUUGAAACUUGCAGUCAAACUUGAGAAAUUAAGAGAGGUGAGUGAAAUUGAGGUGCUUCAGGAAAUGUUUGUUUGGUGGUGGAGUUAGUUUGUAAUGUAUGUUAUCAUGAAACUUGUAUAUGCCAUCCUUGCUUUUCUUUGAUAUUCCCUUUUUGUGAUACAUGGUACUUAUUUCGUGGAAUGAUAGUAGCCACAUGAGCAAAGUGCGACUGAUCCAACAUAAGGGAACAGUUUUCUAAAGAAAAAACUGAAAAGCAGAUAUACUGGUCAUGAUCUUUUUUGGAACUUCAGUUAUACUGCAAGUUUCUGGUGCUUUCUUCCAUUAGAAUGUCUGAGAUCCAAAUUGCAUUCAAUAACCAAUGUAUGUAGUUUCUAUAUUGCUGCUAAUAGCAUAAUAUCUAUGAUUCCGCUGGCUUUGAGUUCUUCUUUUAUGCAAGUAAUCAACUUUAGUUCUUUGUCAUCUCUAUGAUUUGGUUUCCGAGGCAUGUUGUCUCUAACCAUGUUUAUGCAAUUACAGAAUUAUAACCUGGUAACGGCUGUUCUAACGGGGCCAGGUGUUAUCUUCAUCCAAAGCAUGCCUUUUCAUAGGCUUUCUCAACACAUUGCUAGGGCAGUAACAUCUCCAAACAUGAGGGACAAUCCCAGAUUCUUUCUUCAGAUAGCAAUGUUUUUCUUUAUAGCUUAUGUUGUCAUUGUAUCAUCUUUAAUCUUAACUUAUGUUUGAGCCUUCUUAUUUCUUUUUUGUUUCUGUUAACAUUCUAUAUAUCGUUCUUUGUCACUUUUAUUUUCUUUUGGGUUGACCAGCUUUUAAAUCUUA